rnacentral:rRNA from 1 species
CCGGCGACCGGCGCACGGGUGAGUAACGCGUAUGCAACCUGCCCGUGGCAGGGGGAUAAGCGGGGGAAACCCCGUCUAAUACCGCGUAACGCGGCCUUGGGGCAUCCCAAGGCCGCCAAAGGGAGCAAUCCCGGCCACGGAUGGGCAUGCGGCGCAUUAGCUAGUCGGCGGGGUAACGGCCCACCGAGGCGACGAUGCGUAGGGGUUCUGAGAGGAAGGCCCCCCACACUGGUACUGAGACACGGACCAGACUCCUACGGGAGGCAGCAG